CCAAUUUAUAUGUAUAUAAAAUCUGAUUCAGCCACAUCUUUUUUAUUUCCUACAGCCACAAUGUUGGACUCCCAAACAAACGCCAAUUCUUCUCCAAUUUCUCACCCGGCAGUCCUUUCCUCUUUUCCCAGUUGGCUCUCGGUUUCUGUUUUCUCUAUAGGUUAGUCUCUCCUUGCUACCGAAUUCUCCCUCGAGUUGGCGUGGGUGAAUUGUGUGUGUAUAUAUUUAUUUAUUUUUUUUUUUUUCCCCCCCCCCCCCCACCCAAAAGCCAAAGCAGCCCACUUUUAUUAUGUAUGAUUUGAAUUCCAAAGUGGCAACAAUUAUUGACUUCCAAUACAAUUCCAAUCCUUUUCUUCUUGCCGGCAGCCCACUUCUUUUCCAUAUCUCACCUCUUUCUUUUCUUUUGACUCCAAAGCCCAAUUUAAUUAAUUCCAAAUUGAGGUCCUAUUAAUAGGCCCCGUUUGGGAGGGAUUUUGAGAAUUAAUUUUUUGACCGUUAGAAGAAAAGUGGGGUCCACCUGUGAGAGAAAAAAUCAAAAAUUACAGCUGAAGUAGUGAAAUAACGGUCAAAAAAUCAAUUUUUUUGAGUAAAAAAUCCCUCCCAAACAAGCCGAUAAUUUAUUUUUUCCAAAUCAUCAAACUUUUAAGUUAAUGCAAUGUAGUCCUUGAGUUCCUCAAUUGUGCAAUCAACGUCCUCUUCAAUUUUACAAGUGUUGAGUUUGAUCCUCAAUAUUGCAUCCAAUAGCCAAUUUAUUCUUCAUCCUUUUUAUUUGCUCCGAACGAGUCCAUCACUAAAAAUACAAAGAAAAUUAACUUGAGUCAAAUAAAAAUUAAUAAAUUGACGACAUAAAAGUUUAAUAAAAUAGUCUAAAUAAGUGCACAAAUUGCACUCAUCAGUUAUACCUGUAGGUGAUAUAAUUAGAAUGUAUUUUCCCGAAAAAAGUUCACUCCUUAUAAAUUUACACACACAAUCUAUUAGAAACAAUUUGUUUUACUACUCUACAAGCCAUAUUUUCAGAUUUUAUUUUGGUGUCAUUGAGGUAAGAACACGUUAUGCAAGUGGUAAAUUCUUAUUUUCUUGACAUUUUUUAUAUACUUGGCAUGAAAUACUCUAAGGCAUUUGGGACAAUUCUAUAUUAAAUCCUACAAGAUAAAUCGUUAGGUCAAAUCUACGGAAUGGUCUGUUAGGUCGAGUAUGUUAAAUCUUACGGGAUGAACCAUUAGAUCGAAGAUGUAAAUCCUAUAAGUUGUAGAAAUGCUUUGAGCUUUUGGAUAUCAUGAUCAGUUUGCUUUAAAUUUAAGAAACGUCGGAAUUUUAUAUCAUUUUAUAUUUAUAUCAAGUUAAAUAAGAAUACGCAUUUUUGUUGAGUGCUUCAAAAUACUCACUCUUACAAUAAUUUUCAGAUUAAAACGGAUCGUGUGGACGCAUGGAAGAUUAAUUGAGUGAUGCUUAUAGGGUCACCAAGUAAAAAUUUCUAGAAAUGAUAAUUGCAGAUUUACAUUUGAAAAAAUCCUUAUGUUAAAUUUUAUGCACGUUAUUUAAUAGUUUUUUUUUUUGUAUUCGAACAUUUGACGUUCUAUGUUAAAUUUAAAUUUAUGGGUUGACAUCGUAGUAUUUCAAAAUUUUAUUUAGUUUGAAAUUUUUUGCUUAAAUUGUUAAUUUAUCAUUAUCGUAUUAUCGAUCAAAUUUCAAAAAAAAAAAAUAAAAGAAUUUUCGCUUAAAUUAGAUAUAGAAGAUUGAUUUUUUGAUAACACCUCAAGUCUAUUUUUGAACAAAAAAUAUGAAACAGAUUUUAGGGUGUUACAAUUUUGCUAUGAGUACAUGAACCCUUUCACAGACCUUUUACAAGAUUUUAAAAUUUGAUGAUGUGGCAUUUUGAAGAAGCAUACAAAAGAAAGAAACGGAUAAAAUAAUGGAAUGAAAGGAAAUCGAUGGAAAACCCAAUUUGUUCCCACCAUUUACCACAGUUGAGCUUCACAACUGGAGAGAAGCCUGGCACAUGUGAAGUCUAUAGCCGAUGUAUUUCUGGUUGGCAAACACAAUUUUUUCCACCAUUCACCUCUGUCUCCCUCGAGCUCCCCAUUUUUCAAUAAAAUCCCACACCCGCAAACUAGAAAUCUCACGUCUUCCGGAAGAUAGUAACUCAAUUGGCGAGGACAUUUCGACAGCUAAUUCUCGCGUGAAGGUUAGUUACUGUAGAAAUCUGUUCAGUUUUGAUUUUAGUUUUAUUUCUUUUUUUGCUCUGAAGAACGUGUUACUGUUGAGAAAUUAUAUCUAAGAAGUGAUGGAAAAUAUAGAAAUUUGUAUAAAAUAUCAGAAAUGUCAAGAAGCAGAAAAAUGCAACGGCUGUUCAAAGAUAAAUUUUUCACAGAAAUCCCAAAACUUUGAACAUUUGACAUUUGAACACACGGAUUGGUCUUAAUUAGCUCUAUUAACGGUAGGGGAGUUAAAAAUUGGAGAAUUAAUUUAUUUUAGGGUGCAAUGAAAAAAGUGCAUAAAUGUUCGACAAACUUAUUUAUAUUAAGGGUAAUUAGUAUAAAACGUUCUUACCUUUCAAUGUUAUUGUGAAAAAUGUUUAUACCUUUUAUUUUUUGACAUUAUUACCCAUAUUUUCACAUUUUAUUGUGCAAAAAGUCAUUUUCAUCCAAUUUCUUAAUAAAAAAUUGUGAAUAAACCCUCUUAUUUAAACAAAAAAGAAAAGAAAAAUUAAAGACAAAUUGUAAUUAUACUCCAAAACUUUUAAAAAAAUUGUAAAUGGGUCCAAAUAAAUUAUUAAAAGGGUAAUUUCUGCAAAACGUUCAUAUCUUUCAAUAAUAUUUGCAAAACGUUUCUAUCUUUUAUUUUUUGGCAUUCUCACCAUUCUUUUCACAUUUUAUUGUGAAAAUCAUCAUUUUUAUUCAUUUUUUCAAUUAAAACUGUAAAAUGACGAAUAUACCCUCCUAUUUAAAUAAAACAAAAUUAACGAACAAAUUGCAACUACUCUCAAAAUUUCCAAACAAAGUACAAAUAAUUUUCAAAUAAAUAAUUAAAAACAAAAAAUAAAAAAAUAACUUUAUUUUUUAAUUAUUAUUUGGAGUUUUUUUGUACUUUUUCGAAAAUUUUGGGAGCAUAGUAUCAGUUAUUUAUUUAUUUUUUGUUUUAUUUAAAUAUGAGGGUAUAUUCAUCAUCUUAUAGCUUUUAAUUGAGAAAAUAGAUGAAAAUGAUGAUUUUCGUAAUGUAAUGUGAAAAUAAGGGUGAACAUAUAAAAAAAAUGAAAGAUAGAAACGUUUUACACAAUAAUAUUGAAAGAUGUGGACGUUUUGUGUUAAUCACCGUUUUAAUAAUUUAUUUGGGCACAUUUACAGUUUUUAAAAAAGUUUGGGAGUAUAAUUACAAUUUGUUCUUGAAUUUUUCAAUUCUUUUUUUUUUUAAUUUAAAUAUGAGGGUAUAUUUAUCAUUUUACAUUUUUUAAAUUGAGAAAUUGGAUGGAAAUGACUUUUUUCCCAAUAAAAAGGUGAAAAUGCAAAAAAUAAAAGGAAUGACAUUUUAUACAAUAACAGUGAAAGAUAAUGAUGUUUUGUACUAAUUACCUUAUACUAAUUAUGUUAUCGUUAGGCCCUUUGCAUAUCCAGUUGACCAUAUUCGUUUUUUAACAAAAGCUUGAUAUAUGCACAAUUUUUUGUAUUCAUAGCAAAAUUUUUGUAAAAUAUCUGACGUAAUGUAUGGUUCAGAUACCUCGAUUUUCGUAAUGCAACAAAAAAAUCCAAAUGCUUUCUAUUUAGUAAGAUUGCCAAAUUCGCUGAUGUAAAUUUUCAAUUUUUUAUUAUCUAUUUUAUUGGAAUUGGUUUAUGUCUUCCUGAACGUUAUCAUUUCUUUGGUUGUCCCUGUUGAAAAAAGCAUGACAUGCAAAAUGAAUUUUUGGUUGUCUAGUGUGGAGAACGUUGAGAAAAUGUUAACGUCGUCGAAAAUGAAACGUUAGGAGGGAACGGUGUAAUUGUCUUGAGGUAGGUAUGAUCUUUAAGGAUGAAAAAUAAACAUCUGAGAUGAGUAAAAGAUAUUCUUAUGACGUUAGUUUUCUAGUUAGGAAAAGAAAUUCGAAAAAGGGUAACGAUGAAGUUCUCAGAUAUGUGACAUUAAAGAAGCUAGAGUACAAGCGGUUCUUUGAAUCCACAACCAACAAGUUAGACAAAUUGUAAAGCAAUGAUCUCUACAUCUUUAGAUAUUCAAGGUAGUUGGAUGAAUUAACAUGGUCCACCUUGAGCAUAGUCAUAAAACAAGUCAUUCAAAAUCUAGGUUGUAUCAAUGCAAUGGAGAAUUGAUUGCAAAUGUGAAACGUAAGCUUGAGGUGAAUGAUAUUACAAGAAUUUCAUUGUACAAAAGUUACAACUCUGCAGUUGUGGAAGCAUGGGGAUAUGAGAAAAUGACAUGCCUUGAAAAGGAUUGUCGAGACCUGUCAAAAGAGUUAGAUGAUUACGAUUUGGAGAUUGAGAUGCCGCUGCAAUACAAUAAUACUUUUCAAAGAUGUAAGCACAAUGCUUGCUAAAGAACGUAUUUUGGACAGAUAAUCGGUUUACGCAAGCAUACAGAUAGUUCGAUAAUGUCGUCACAUUCAACACCACUUACUUUACUAAUAAGUACGACAUGCCUUUCGCCCCCUUUGUUGUAAUGAAUCAUCAUGGACAAUCAAUACUGCUUGGAUGUGGUUUACUAUCAAAUGAGGACACAUAUACUUAUGUGUGGCUUCUCAGGACAUGGUUUCAGUGUAUGAAUGGUCUACCCCCGCAUGGAAGAAAUACUGAUCAAAACGGGGUAGUGCAAAAAUGCAAUUCAGAUCGUUUUUCAAAUACGACGCAUAGAUUGUGUUUGUAGUACAUUUUGAAAAAGUUGACAGAGAAGUUUGGUUAUCGUGUUGAUAAGACAUCAAUAUUUUCUAUUAUACACAAACUAGUAAAUGAUUCUCAUUUUCUUUAAGAAUUUGUAGAAAGAUGGUGGUUGAUGAUCAACGAGUAUGAAUUGCAUGACAAUGAUUACUGGUCGAGACUAGACGAGAAUAGAGAUCUUUGGGUGCCUUGCUUUUUGAAGACCAAUUUUUGUGCGAUGGUGUCAACAAUACAGUGAAGUGAGAAUAGGCAUGCGUUCUUCGAUGGGUAUGCAUUCUGAAACCUUAUUUAAGUAGUUUGGGGAAUAAUAUGAAAGAGAGGUUGAGAAAGAAUUUCAAGCUGAUUCCAAAAUCAUUCACGCAAAUGUUACCGUGUGCUACAAAUUAUGAGACCGAGAAGUUAUUUCAAUCAGUUUUCACAAUCUCUAAAUUCAGGCUAGCAAUCUCUAAAUUCAGGCUAGCUUAAGAUGAGUUCACAGAAAAGGUUUAUUGCAACAUCAUAUCUAUUUCUAAGGGAUGUUUUAGGACCACAUACAAGGUGUUAGAGGAUGUCGUGUAUCAUGAGCAUCGGAAGAAAAAAAUAUUUUCUGCCUCAUUUCGGAGAGAUGGAUGUGAGAUUACUUACAGUUGCCACUUGUUUGAGUUUCGGGGCAUAAUUUGAAGGUGUGCGGUCACAGUUUUGAUCCCCAAUUGAUGUCACAUUACUUCCAGAGAAAUAUAUAAUAUGUAGAUGAUGGAGAGAUGUAAGUAGAGUACACAUGAGGAUAGCAGUAAACUAUGAAGGUUUGGUUAGUACUCCAUGGCAGUAGUGCCAGGCUUUUGCAGAAGUGACGAACCUUGCCGUAGAUGAUGAAGGGCAAACACAUGCUAUAAUGGAUUGAAUAAAAUACAAGGCUAAAGAUUUGAAGUAGAACAAGUCGAGUAGUAGAAGUAAUGUAGUGUCACAGCAUAACAUUUGGUAAGGAUCUCGGUGUACUGGUUUGUUUAAUAGUGCCAGUAUGAGCACAAGAGAUCCUAAAUCGUUGAAAAGGCAAGCCAAGGAAACUUCAGAAGAAAAGCCCAUUGGUUUCGACUUCAAAGAAAUCAAAGGUGUGUUUUGGCCUCUUACCUUCUCCAUUCUAAUAGAGUCCGGAACCAAAAUCUAAUUCAUCUCAAUGUCAUGUAGGCAACUUCAAAUUCAAACCAAGGAAAGAGAUCGAAAUCAAAGGACAGUAAUAUGGAUGAGGCUUCACCCAACAUUCAACCGUUUCAACAAAGACAAUAUUCACAAUCGAUGCCGUUUUCGUAUUCAUACCUAUUGUUGGUUAGUAUAUUGAUUUUAUAUAAUUUCACCUUUUUGAAUUGUUAUUUACUUUGCUUUUCGAUAGAAGCCACCUCUAGAACUCACCGGAUAUUAAUUUGAUCCCCCAUCCUCUACAUUAGGUCAAUCAUUGCAAUACUACCAUCCACAUUUACCGCAUAAUGAUGGCACACGCAUAUAAUCGUGUGGAAUGGAGGUGAUUUUUUUAGGUACUGCUAAAAUUGUUAUGCAUACUAUUCCUAUUCACCAUGGAUGCUAAAGAAUUAGGGGAGCCGGCGACUGAAGCCCCGGUGAACGGCGACCGUAACUAUAACAGUCCUAAGGUAGUGAAAUUCUUUGUCGGUCUUUUUUACUUAUGCUUGUUGUCGUGAGACUGUUUUAGUAUAAAUUGCUUCUUCUCAUGCUCAAAUGCCUGAUGUUGUCUGAUAUAGAGUGAUGGAAGGAGGAAGUUAUAAAAAUUCAAUGUUCAUGUUCAGAUUAAAUUCCAUGAGAUUUAAUUUGCCAAGUUGACAGUAAUCCUUGAUGUUUAAUCGAUUGGCAUAGGCAGUAUGGGAUACAAGUUCUUUCAUUAAUCUUUCACCCUUGUACGCCAUAACAAAACAUAUAAACUUGAAAUGAAUCAUGAUUUCAUACAACACCAUUGCAGUAUAUAAACUUCAAACAUUUAUUUACUCGGUUCACGUCAUUCUCAAUACAAAAUACUGAACAACAUAGUAACAAACUAAUCACGAUAAACUUGAACAAUGCAAGUACAGAGUGCAAUACUAUAAGUCUUAUAGACUUAACGGAAAUAAUUAUACCAGCCUCUUUCAUUUCGAAUUCCCUUCGCAAUACCAUUUUCCAUUACGGAAUGUUACGUUCAAUGAAAUCUUGAUGCCCUAGUUACACACCACGGGCAGCGAUGUUUUCUCAGACAUUUCUCAAAGUAGUGCGACAUGCUUCCACAGUUGUGACACACUCAAAAAUUCCUUCAUCGCAUGUUGAGAUUGAACACAACCACAUAACUCAAUUGUCAAUAUUUCACCUUUAAAAUUAGAGCCACUACUCAGACGAAAUUCAUAUAAGUGAGCAUAAUGUUUAUUCUAAUAUAUAAGGGGGUUGGUUGGAGCUCAAACGAAAUUAAAUUUUUUCAAUAGAUAUAAUAUGCAUACUCCUUUAAUGUAAAAAAGAGACGUGAAGAUUGUGUUGGUGAUUUUCGAAUAAAAAACUUGAAUUGCACAAUUGUGUUCAAUGUUGUCUAAUUCAACCUACGAUCUACAUACCACAUAAAAAAAUAAAUUCAAAUCACUUUAUUUCCACUGGCUUUAUCAUCUAGAGGCAAAUUCUUUUGAUAAUGUGCCUUGAAAGCCUAGAAAUCUUGAAAAGAACCCAAAUUUCUCACUAAUAGGAUAAUUUUUCAUUAAUGCUAUGAUCAUGUAAAGUCUACAUUCUCCCCAUUAUAGGACUCUUACAAUUUGAAAUUCGAAGGCAGCAAAUCCAACAUCAUUGCACUUCGACAGAUGGAUUCAAAACUAAUUUUGGCUACAUUUUUAUGCCAAACUUAACAUGCUAUAAAGCCUAACUAAGAUAGUUAAAGUGGCUGUGAUCCAAGUCAAGCAUGGUUACAUUAGCUAGAGAUCAACUAUGGCAUUACUGAUUUAGUCAGCAACAUUCUAAAAACAUUCACCCUUCCUAGAAAAUAUAUAUAAGGGUAUCACAACAUUGUUACCUCGCUAACAGAAUCUUAAGAAUAUGAAAGCAAGAAUUAUUGGUUUUUUGCUUACUUUUAUAUGUACUGGGGUUCGAAGAUAUUGUCGAAGAACAAACUUAGCAAUGGUUUCACAACGACCGGAGGAGGAGAACAGAUCACUUGAGAUUUUUCGACGGUGGAAGUGAAUAUUACCGCUCGCUACCGUCCUAUCUCGAUAAAAAAUGUUUUUUGUAAUAUGGGAUCAAUCUGAUUGUUACUGGUUUGGCACCAGAGGUGUUAGGUUGUCAUUGUAAAAGGGUGUUUGUACUCGUAGCAAAAUUGUUAAUAGUUUGAUGGUGAUGGUUACCCUUAAGGACAGUACUUUACUUGUUAAUGUUGGCUCUAGAGUUUGUUGAUUGCUUUACGUUGAUGGGAAUGAAGUAGCCCAUCAUUGGUCUCGUCAGAUUGAUUGUGACCCAAUAUUUUGUUUGUGGUCCGCAGCGAAUAAUCUUAAUGCAUAUUAUUGUGAAAGGAUUGUAGCAAAUUUAAUCGAUG
rnacentral:lncRNA from 1 species